rnacentral:ncRNA from 1 species
GCAAGGAUAAAAACGCAACGUGUGGAAUCUACAAAUUCCAUGCCAGAGCCGGUAGGUAGCCCGGCCGUCCUGAAUUUCAGGGUAAGUAACCUGCCUCCUAUGGUUGUCCAUUUCUUG